UGCAUAAACCAGUUACAGCAGAUGAUGGAUGCCUUGGCGUCAUCAGGCGAUGAAGGGCGCAGCAAGCUGCGAAAAGCUUCGGGGAGCGGCAUACACGCUUUGAUCCGGAGAUUCCCGAAUGGGGCAACCC
rnacentral:rRNA from 1 species